rnacentral:rRNA from 1 species
UACGUAGGGUGCAAGCGUUUAAUCGGAAUUACUGGGCGUAAAGCGUGCGCAGGCGGUGAUGUAAGACAGUUGUGAAAUCCCCGGGCUCAACCUGGGAACUGCAUCUGUGACUGCAUCGCUGGAGUACGGUAGAGGGGGAUGGAAUUCCGCGUGUAGCAGUGAAAUGCGUAGAUAUGCGGAGGAACACCGAUGGCGAAGGCAAUCCCCUGGACCUGUACUGACGCUCAUGCACGAAAGCGUGGGGAGCAAACAGG